rnacentral:rRNA from 1 species
GAUGGUUCAUUCAAAUUUCUGCCUAUCAAGUUUCGAUGGUCAGGAUAGAGGCCUACCAUGCUUUUUACGGGUAACGGCGAAUUAGGGUUCGAUUCCGGAGAGGGAGGCUGAGAAACGGCUACCACAUCUAAGGAAGGCAGCAGGCGCGCAAAAUUACCCAAUCCUGAUUCAGGGAGGUAGUGACAAUAAAUAACAAUCCAGGACUCCGGUCUUGGAAUUGGAAUGAGAACAAUUUAAAUCUCUUAUCGAGGAAACAAUUGGAGGGCAAGUCUGGUGCCAGAGCGGGGUAAUUCCAGCUCCAAUAGCGUAUAUUAAAGUUGUUGCAGUUAAAUAGCUCGUAGUUUGAAUCUUGGGGGCUGGUUUGGGGUCGAGGUCAUUUGACGUGUUACUGUCGGGCCGGUUACUUUUACUUUGUGGGGAACGUAUGUUGGCCCUUUGAGGGGUGUGUACGGGAAACAAUGGUGUUACUUUUGAAAA